AGAGUUUGAUCAUGGCUCAGGAUGAACGCUAGCUACAGGCUUAACACAUGCAAGUCGAGGGGCAUCAGUUUGGUUUGCUUGCAAACCAAAGCUGGCGACCGGCGCACGGGUGAGUAACACGUAUCCAACCUGCCUCAUACUCGGGGAUAGCCUUUCGAAAGAAAGAUUAAUAUCCGAUAGCAUAUAUUUCCCGCAUGGGUUUUAUAUUAAAGAAAUUCGGUAUGAGAUGGGGAUGCGUUCCAUUAGUUUGUUGGCGGGGUAACGGCCCACCAAGGCGACGAUCAGUAGGGGUUCUGAGAGGAAGGCCCCCCAUAUUGGAACUGAGACACGGUCCAAACUCCUACGGGAGGCAGCA
rnacentral:rRNA from 1 species